UCCAGGAGAAUCCAGCAGCAGCACAAAAACACAUGCAGAACCCGAUGAUCAUGAACAAAAUCCAAAAGCUUAUCAGCUCAGGAAUAGUCCAGAUGAAGUAAAUCCAUAAGAAAAGACAUCAAUUUCUAUUUCGCAGAUUUUUUUCUACCUUUUGUGACUCAAGCCAAAGUCGGGUUCUUCCCAUUUUUCCAGACUGCUUACUCUGUUAUAAAAUUUUUCUUCUCAUAUCCAGUGUUUACUAGAAAAUUAUAACUUUGUCUAAUAGAUUUGUAUAAUGAACCAAACAAAACCACAAUAACUUUCCAGUGUAGGAUUAGUAGUCUUGGACAAAAGAAAAAUCUGUCUUAAGCUGGUUCCGAGUAUGCUCAGGAACAGCAUCGAACUUAGCCAACUGCACUCUGUUAGAUGCACGAUCUUUUGUUAUCCGGAGCUUAUACACUCCUCAAGUCUUUUCAUGACACCGGGACUAUAAUCUCUUGGUACGGCUCCUCUUUUGAUCUCACUCUUUAAUUCAUAUCCUGAUCCUGUUUCCAGUGGCUCAAACCUGACUGUAAUAUCAACAAACUGUCCUUAUCCACCUGAUUGCUUCAUGUGUGUGUAUUUCACUUCAGUUAACUUUGGAGAUACUCUCACGGUCGUUCACUUUGGCCUACCACGUGGCUUUGUUAUCUUUUUUUGCUCUCCUUGAAAAGAAUCUGAUCAGUGAAGAGGUUGGCUUUAGUUACUGAAUAUCCAAUAAAAGCAUCAUCAAUCUUGGUCCGUAAACAAUAUUCCAUCUCUGUCAAUGCCCAACAAAACCCAUGUACAGACCACAACAAUUUCAAUUUCUUCAUAUAUGUUUGUACAGAGAUAAAAACAGAGCAAGUGAAACGAACAGACAAACAAAUUCUAAUGCAAAAAAAAAAAAAAACAAUUUUUACUGCUCCUCUCCAUUCAUUGUAAGUGAUCAUCAUCAACACCCGAAAAUGAUCAUCUUAAUAAUAGAUUUCAAUACCAUCAUCACCACCAUCUUGAUUCCAUUGGUUAUAAUCUCCAUCAACAUUUCAUAUAUCACCAUCGUAACCAACUUCUUGAAAACCACCGUAAUAGCUAUAACAAUCACCAUCUUGUGAGAUUGUUCUAUACUUUCUUUGUUCUUGUCUAUGGUAUUACUAAAUAAGUUUGAAGUAAUUACGUUAUUGAGUGGAGACUGGAGAGAGCUUAUACAUAAUUUACAGGAGCAAUCUUAGGGAUUGAGUAUAUCUGUUAUUGAGUGGUGAUAAUAAUUUCCUUAAACAGCUAUGAUCAAGCAUACUGUCUUUCAUACAAAGAAUAGAAAAUCUUAAAUCUUGUGUUUCAUCAAGAACAAGAGUAGGAACGCAAAUUUUACAAUAAGUUAAACUGAAUAACAAUAUACAAAAAAAACUUAACAAAAAAGUUUUUAAAAAAUUACAUAAAGACAUAAUUAUUACAAAAAUUUAAAUAUUUCAACAACAUUAAUGGUCAGGUAAAUUUGAUCUGGAAUCUCCAAAUCUCCAAAAUAUUGUCCAAAUUUUUUUUGUGUAACCGAAGAUGGUUGUUGCUGUUGUUUUUAUGUCUUUUUCGUACGAUUCUUUCUUAUUUAUAUCGAAUGUAUUCACAAGUAUUAAUAUCAUCGAUAGAAGUUAAGCCUUUUAGCAUUAUUUUAUUUUUUCCUUUUUACUUUCUUUUUCAUAUCUAAUGUAUUUAUAAAUAUUAAUAUCACCAAUUUUUAGUUCGUACUCUAUAAAUUAAAAUUAAAAGUCAUUUUUACUUCAAAAUGUACUAUAUGAUCAUAUAUGCAUUAUGGAAAUAAUUUUGUGUAAUAUUAUGAUAUUUUGCGUAAAUUUUAAUAUCAAUUAUGUUAUUUCUAUUUAAAAUUUUAUAUUUUAAUAUAACAUUUUACUAAUUAAUAUUAUAGUAAUAUUUUUAUAUAUGUGCUAGUAAAAGUUUUAUAAAUUUAAAUUAAUUAUGACAAAUAUAAAGAUUAUAGUAUAAAAUACAAUAGUUUUGAAUUUUUUUUUGGAAUUAUUAUAGUUUUGAAUUUAAGUUCAAACUUAAACUUAAUAGUUUUAAAUUUAAGUUUGAAGUUUUAUUUUCGGAGAACAAUACAUCUCUAGAUGAUUGCUGAUACAUCUCUAGAUGAUUGCUGUGGAGCAAUCUAUGUUGAUGAUGUCUCACCAAACUCCAACACUGCUCUCUUUGAACAGGUUCUGUCAGAUCUCCAGGAGAAUCCAGCAGCAGCACAAAAACACAUGCAGAACCCGAUGAUCAUGAACAAAAUCCAAAAGCUUAUCAGUUCAGGAAUCGUCCAGAUGAAGUAAAUCCAUAAGAAAAGACCUCAAUUUCUAUUUCGCAGAUUUAUUUUUCUACCUUUUGUGACUCGAGCCAAAGUCGGGUUCUUCCCAUUUUUCCAGACUGCUUACUCUGUUAUAACAUUUUUCUUCUCAUAUCCAGUA
rnacentral:lncRNA from 1 species